CAAGCCCCGUGGUGGAGAUACACGUUGGAUUGCAAAUCCAGAGACGCAGAGUAAUACGCUGCCGGGGCUUU
rnacentral:tRNA from 1 species